rnacentral:lncRNA from 1 species
GGCGGGCGGAGGUGGGAGCGCAGCCGGGCAGGGGAGGGCUGUCCCGGCUGCUCCCGGGAGCUGCUGCUGGGCAGGACGGAGCUCAGCGCUCCCCUCAGGAAGUUAUUUUAGAACGAAAGAACACAUCUGAGAAACAAGAUGUCUCCUGCCGGGAGUCAGUACCAAGAUAAGCGAUACAGGCACCAUGAGAACCACAGAUCCGACAGAUACAAAGAAGACAGAAGAGCGAGAAAACCAUACCAAUACAAUGCAAGAUCAACAGAAGACAUUCGAGGUGGCCAGCACUCAAGAACUUCUACUGUUUGCUCAGACCAUUAUUCUAAAACCUCAGGAGCAGCACGGGAGUAUUUUGACCCACAACCACAGUUUUAUCCUCCCAAGGAAACCUUCUCAAUGAAGUGUUCAAAGGCAUUUUGAAGUUUGUGGAAAUCACAGUUAACCUCCUGGUGUUGAUUUGUGUGGGAGCUUCCCAAGCCUCUGUUGCAGGCUUCACAUCCCUUGGAGGCUUUGGAUCCUUUAGCCUGAAUUCAGCCUAUAGCCCCUUUGAGGGCACAGAGCUCC